AGACGGGACCCGCACAAGUGGUGGAGCAUGUGGUUUAAUUCGAAGAUACACGAAGAACCUUACCUGGCCUUGACAUGGUAGGAACCCUUAAGAGAUUAGGGGUGCUAGCUUGCUAGAACCUACACACAGGUGCUGCACGGCUGUCGUCAGCUCGUGUCGUGAGAUGUUGGGUUAAGUCCCGCAACGAGCGCAACCCUCGUCCUUAGUUGCUAACAGUUCGGCUGAGCACUCUAGGGAGACUGCCUUCGCAAGGAGGAGGAAGGUGAGGACGACGUCAAGUCAUCAUGGCCCUUACGGCCAGGGCUACACACGUGCUACAAUGGUUGGUACAACGAGUUGCGAGUCGGUGACGGCGAGCUAAUCUCUUAAAGCCAAUCUCAGUUCGGAUUGUAGGCUGCAACUCGCCCACAUGAAGUCGGAAUCGCUAGUAAUCGCGGAUCAGCACGCCGCGGUGAAUACGUUCCCGGGCCUU
rnacentral:rRNA from 1 species